rnacentral:rRNA from 1 species
UCCGUAGGUGAACCUGCGGAAGGAUCAUUAUUGAGUAAACCUGAUGUGGCUGUUAGCUGACUUAGGCGAUGUGCUCGUCGCAUCAUCUUUAUAUCUCCACSUGUGCACAUUUUGUAGACUUGGAUAAUGGCUCUGUCAUUUACAAGACUAUGUUUUCAAUAUACCCAAAGCAUGUUUAAAGAAUGUCACCAAUAGGAACUUGUUUCCUAUUAGAAACUAUACAACUUUCAGCAACGGAUCUCUUGGCUCUCGCAUCGAUGAAGAACGCAGCGAAAUGCGUUAAGUAAUGUGAAUUGCAGAAUUCAGUGAAUCAUCGAAUCUUUGAACGCACCUUGCGCUCCUUGGUAUUCCGAGGAGCAUGCCUGUUUGAGUGUCAUUAAAUUCUCAACCAUCCAUUAAUUUGGUUUGGCUUGGAUGUGGGGGUUGCAGGCUUCAUUUGACUAUGAGGUCAGCUCUCCUUAAAUGCAUUAGUGGAACUUUUGUUGACCAUCUAUUGGUGUGAUAUCUAUCUACACUGUGGAUGAGUUAGCGGUGUUCAGCUUCUAACCGUCUAUUAUUGACUUACUUGACCAUUUGACCUCAAAUCAGGUAGGACUACCCGCUGAACUUAAGCAUAUCAAUAAGCGGAGGA